rnacentral:rRNA from 1 species
CUACGGGACGCUGCAGUGGGGAAUAUUGGACAAUGGGGGAAACCCUGAUCCAGCAAUGCCGCGUGUGUGAAGAAGGCCUGCGGGUUGUAAAGCACUUUCGGUUGGGAGGACUGCUUCUAGCACUAAUAUUGUUGGAAGUUGACGUUACCUUCAGAAGAAGCACCGGCUAGCUCCGUGCCAGCAGCCGCGGUAAUACGGAGGGUGCAAGCGUUAAUCGGAAUUACUGGGCGUAAAGCGCGCGUAGGCGGCUAGAUCAGUCGGGUGUGAAAGCCCCGGGCUUAACCUGGGAACUGCAUCCGAUACUGUCUAGCUUGAGUACAGGAGAGGAGAGUGGAAUUCCACAUGUAGCGGUGAAAUGCGUAGAUAUGUGGAGGAACACCAAUGGCGAAGGCAGCUCUCUGGCCUGAUACUGACGCUGAGGUGCGAAAGCGUGGGGAGUAAACAGGAUUAGAUACCCGCGUAGUC